rnacentral:rRNA from 1 species
GACGAACGCUGGCGGCGUGCUUAACACAUGCAAGUCGAACGGAAAGGCGCUGCUUUUGUGGGGUGCUCGAGUGGCGAACGGGUGAGUGACACGUGAGUAACCUGCCCUUGACUUUGUGGUAACUUCAGGAGACUGGGGCUCAUACCGCGUAUGAGCUUCUGCUGCGUGUUGGGGGUUGGAGAGUGACGGCGGUUGGGGAUGGACUAGCGGCUUAUGAGCUUGUUGGUGGGGUAGGUGCUUACCAAGGUUGUGAAGGGUAGCCGGCCUGAGAGGUGGACCGGCGACAUUGGGACUGAGAUACGCACCAGAAGCCAACGGGAGGCAGUAGUGGGGAACAUGGCACAAUGAGCGGAAGCCUGAGGCAGAAACGUCGCGAGCGGGAUGACGGCUUUCGGGUGGUAAACAGCUUUCGCCUGUGACGAAGCGUGAGUGACGGUAACGGGUAAAGAAGCACCGGCUAACUACGUG